UUGGAGGGCAAGUCUGGUGCCAGCAGCCGCGGUAAUUCCAGCUCCAAUAGCGUAUACUAAAGUUGUUGCAGUUAAAAAGCUCGUAGUUGAAUUUCGGAAUCAAUUUGUUGGUCGUGCCUCGGUACGUACUGGUACUAUUGGUUUCUACCUUCUGAAGAACCUUGAUGUCAUUAAUUUGGUGUCUUGGGGAAUCAGGACUGUUACUUUGAAAAAAUUAGAGUGUUUAAAGCAAGCAUACGCUUGAAUACAUUAGCAUGGAAUAAUGAAAUAGGACGUUUGAUUCUAUUUUGUUGGUUUCUAGGAUCGACGUAAUGAUUAAUAGGGAUAGUUGGGGGCAUUAGUAUUCAAUUGUCAGAGGUGAAAUUCUUGGAUUUAUUGAAGACUAACUACUGCGAAAGCAUUUGCCAAGGAUGUUUUCAUUAAUCAAGAACGAAAGUUAGGGGAUCGAAGACGAUCAGAUACCGUCGUAGUCUUAACCAUAAACUAUGCCGACUAGGGAUCGGAUGAUGUUAAUUUUUUAAUGACUCAUUCGGCGCCUUACGGGAAAC
rnacentral:rRNA from 1 species